rnacentral:rRNA from 1 species
ACCUCAGAUCAGGUAA